AGAAGACCACACCAGAAAAAACCACAACUACUCCAAUUCCUCUGUGUUUACACACUCUUUCUUCCUUCUAUCUAUAUAUACAACUGUACGGAUUGCCUUUGAAUUCAAGCUCUCUUCAAUGGCGGUCCAAAUGGAGCUGCCUAACUUCAAUUCCUCUCUCCUUUUGUCCAAACUUUGAAGAUUUGACUUUGAAGCUGCCGUUUAUUCUUUUUCUGAUUUUCUCUCUUUUUGGCAAGUCUAGUCUCUUCAUUCUCCAUUGCCGGUAUAAUACUUGGAAUUUUCUGCGCAUCUGAUUCGACUAAAAGUGAAAAUUCAUUGUUUCUAACCAUUCCAGG
rnacentral:lncRNA from 1 species